AGAGUUUGAUCAUGGCUCAGGACGAACGCUGACGGCGUGCCUAACACAUGCAAGUCGAACGAGAAUCUACUUAUGAAAUUUUCGGAUGGAUUAGGUAGAGGAAAGUGGCGAACGGGUGAGUAACGUGUGAGCAAUCUGCCUUGUACUGGGGGAUAACGUCGGGAAACCGGCGCUAAUACCGCAUAAUACUAUGAGAUCGCAUGGUCAUAUAGUCAAAACUCCGGUGGUACAAGAUGAGCUCGCGUCCAAUUAGCUAGUUGGUGGGGUAAUGGCCCACCAAGGCGACGAUUGGUAGCCGAACUGAGAGGUUGAUCGGCCACAUUGGGACUGAGACACGGCCCAGACUCCUACGGGAGGCAGCAGUGGGGAAUAUUGCGCAAUGGAGGGAACUCUGACGCAGCAACGCCGCGUGAAGGAUGAAGGUUUUCGGAUUGUAAACUUCUUUGAUCGGGGACGAAAUUGACGGUACCCGAGGAACAAGCCACGGCUAACUACGUGCCAGCAGCCGCGGUAAUACGUAGGUGGCAAGCGUUGUCCGGAAUUACUGGGUGUAAAGGGCGUGUAGGCGGGAAGGCAAGUCAGAUGUGAAAGCCCAUGGCUUAACUGUGGAAUUGCAUCUGAAACUGUUUUUCUUGAGUGCUGGAGAGGAAAGUGGAAUUCCUAGUGUAGCGGUGAAAUGCGUAGAGAUUAGGAGGAACACCAGUGGCGAAGGCGGCUUUCUGGACAGUAACUGACGCUGAGGCGCGAAAGCAUGGGGAGCGAACAGGAUUAGAUACCCUGGUAGUCCAUGCCGUAAACGUUGGGCACUAGGUGUGGGGGACAUUCCACGCUUUCCGCGCCGUAGCUAACGCAUUAAGUGCCCCGCCUGGGGAGUACGGCCGCAAGGCUAAAACUCAAAUGAAUUGACGG
rnacentral:rRNA from 1 species